AUUGAACGCUGGCGGCAGGCCUAACACAUGCAAGUCGAACGAGUGGCGGACGGGAGAGUAAUGUCUGGGACACUGCCCGAUGGAGGGGGAUAACUACUGGAAACGGUAGCCAAUACCGCAUACCAUCGGAUGUGCCCAGUUGGCAUUAGCUAGUAGGUGGGGUAACGGCUCACCUAGGCGACGAUCCCUAGCUGGUCUGCGAGAGUGACCGGCCAAACGGGAACUGAGACACGGUCAAGACUCCAACGGGAGGCAGAAGUGGGGAAAAUUGCACAAUGGGCGCAAGGCUGAUGCAGCCAUGCCGCUUGUAUGAAGAAGGCCUUCGGGUUGUAAAGUACUUGCAGCGAGGAGGCGUUACUCGCAGAAGAAGCACCGGCUAACUCCGUGCCAGCAGCCGCGGUAAUUC
rnacentral:rRNA from 1 species